ACCUUGGUGGACUAGUGGCUAGUAUGUGGUGCUGUCACCACUGUGGCCCUGGUUCGAUUCCCAGUCAGGGAA